rnacentral:rRNA from 1 species
AUUGAACGCUGGCGGAAUGCUUUACACAUGCAAGUCGAACGGCAGCACGGACUUCGGUCUGGUGGCGAGUGGCGAACGGGUGAGUAAUGUAUCGGAACGCGCCCAGUCGUGGGGGAUAACGUAGUGAAAAUUACGCUAAUACCGCAUACGAUCUAUGGAUGAAAGCGGGGGAUCGCAAGACCUCGCGCGAUUGGAGCGGCCGGUAUCAGAUUAGGUAGUUGGUGGGGUAAAGGCCCACCAAGCCAAAGAUCUGUAGCUGGUCUGAGAGGACGACCAGCCACACUGGAGCUGAGACACGGACGAGACUCCUACGGGAGGCAGCAGUGGGGAAUUUUGGACAAUGGACGAAAGACUGAUCCAGACAUUCCGCGUGCAGGAUGAAGGCCCUCGGGUUGUAAACUGCUUUUGUACAGAACGAAAAGGUUUCUACUAAUACUAGGAGCUCAUGACGGUACUGUAAGAAUAAGCACCGGCUAACUACGUGCCAGCAGCCGCAGUAA